rnacentral:rRNA from 1 species
UACGUAGGGAGCAAGCGUUGUUCGGAAUCAUUGGGCGUAAAGCGCGUGUAGGCGGUUAUAUAAGUCUGUGGUGAAAGUCCGAGGCUCAACCUUCGAAAGCCCAUGGAUACUGUGUGACUUGAGUACGGAAGAGGAGAGUGGAAUUCCUGGUGUAGCGGUGAAAUGCGCAGAUAUCAGGAGGAACACCAACGGCGAAGGCAGCUCUCUGGGACGUUACUGACGCUGGGACGCGAAAGCGUGGGGAGCAAACAGG